AAUGGAUUCUACCAGGUCCCAGUUUACCUAAACCCUUCAAUGGAUUCUACCAGGUCCCAGACAGUUUACCUAAAGCCUUCAAUGGAUUCUACCAGGUCCCAGACAGUUUACCUAAACCCUUCAAUGGAUUCUACCAGGUCCCAGUUUACCUAAACCCUUCAAUGGAUUCUACCAGGUCCCAGACAGUUUACCUAAACCCUUCAAUGGAUUCUACCAGGUCCCAGACAGUUUACCUAAACCCUUCAAUGGAUUCUACCAGGUCCCAGACAGUUUACCUAAACCCUUCAAUGGAUUCUACCAGGUCCCAGACAGUUUACCUAAACCAUUCAAUGGAUUCUACCAGGUCCCAGACAGUUUACCUAAACCCUUCAAUGGAUUCUACCAGGUCCCAGACAGUUUACCUAAACCCUUCAAUGGAUUCUACCAGGUCCCAGACAGUUUACCUAAACCCUUCAGUGGAUUCUACCAGGUCCCAGACAGUUUACCUAAACCCUUCAAUGGAUUCUACCAGGUCCCAGUUUACCUAAACCCUUCAAUGGAUUCUACCAGGUCCCAGACAGUUUACCUAAACCCUUCAAUGGAUUCUACCAGGUCCCAGACAGUUUACCUAAACCCUUCAGUGGAUUCUACCAGGUCCCAGUUUACCUAAACCCUUCAAUGGAUUCUACCAGGUCCCAGACAGUUUACCUAAACCCUUCAAUGGAUUCUACCAGGUCCCAGUUUACCUAAACCCUUCAAUGGAUUCUACCAGGUCCCAGUUUACCUAAACCCUUCAAUGGAUUCUACCAGGUCCCAGACAGUUUACCUAAACCCUUCAAUGGAUUCUACCAGGUCCCAGACAGUUUACCUAAACCCUUCAAUGGAUUCUACCAGGUCCCAGACAG